GACGAACGCUGGCGGCGUGCUUAACACAUGCAAGUCGAACGGAAAGGCCCUGCUUGCAGGGUACUCGAGUGGCGAACGGGUGAGUAACACGUGGGUGAUCUGCCCUGCACUUCGGGAUAAGCUUGGGAAACUGGGUCUAAUACCGGAUAGGAACCAUCUUUAGUGUGGUGGUUGGAAAGUUUUUUCGGUGUAGGAUGAGCUCGCGGCCUAUCAGCUUGUUGGUGGGGUAAUGGCCUACCAAGGCGGCGACGGGUAGCCGGCCUGCGAGGGUGUACGGCCACAUUGGGACUGAGAUACGGCCCAGACUCCUACGGGAGGCAGCAGUGGGGAAUAUUGCACAAUGGGCGCAAGCCUGAUGCAGCGACGCCGCGUGGGGGAUGAAGGCCUUCGGGUUGUAAACUCCUUUCGCUAGGGACGAAGCUUUGUUGUGACGGUACCUAGAUAAGAAGCACCGGCUAACUACGUG
rnacentral:rRNA from 1 species